rnacentral:rRNA from 1 species
AACGAACGCUGGCGGCAUGCCUAACACAUGUAAGUCGAACGAGACCUUCGGGUCUAGUGGCGCACGGGUGCGUAACGCGUGGGAACCUGCCCUUAGGUUCGGAAUAACUCCCCGAAAGGGGUGCUAAUACCGGAUAAUGUCUUCGGACCAAAGAUUUAUCGCCUUGGGAUGGGCCCGCGUUGGAUUAGCUAGUUGGUAGGGUAAAAGCCUAUCAAGGCGACGAUCCAUAGCUGGUCUGAGAGGAUGAUCAGCCACACUGGGACUGAGACACGGCCCAGACUCCUACGGGAGGCAGCAGUGGGGAAUAUUGGACAAUGGGCGAAAGCCUGAUCCAGCAAUGCCGCGUGAGUGAUGAAGGCCUUAGGGUUGUAAAGCUCUUUUACCCGGGAUGAUAAUGACAGUACCGGGAGAAUAAGCUCCGGCUAACUCCGUG